ensembl:miRNA
UAUUAGGUUGGUGCAAAAGUAAUUGCAGUUUUGCCAUUACGUUUAAUGGCAAAAAUAGCAAUUACUUUUGCACCAACCUAAUA